AAGGUUAAGGAGGUGGCAACUUCAAGGAUCUAAAUGGACUUUUACCUCACUUAUUACCAUCAUUUAUGAAUGAAUAUUCAUUCAUUUCAAGCCAAAAUUUGCAGCAAGAAAGGAUGAAACCCGUAGCCCUUCUUCUCCAAUUUUCUCCAAAAUUCAAAUGAUCAUAACUUCUUCGUUUCUCAACGAAAUUUAGCGAUUCUUGCGGCCACGGAACGAGGAAACGAUUAUCUACAGAUUUAUGGUUUCAAUUUGAGGUGUUUAUAAGCUUGAAUUGGAUGCAAAUGAUGAUGGAGCUAAGGUUUUCAAGGUAAGAAAAUCAAUUUUAGGUUUCAUGGUUAGUUUUCAUGGAUUGAUGAUAGUAAAGAUUAGAGUUUAUGAUGUGUAAUUGGGGUUUUGUUUAAUUGAUUGAUGCGAGGUGAAAUGGAGCUUUAAUGGAGGAUUUUUGAUGAUGAAUUGAAGCUUGGAAGCUUCGGUCAUGGACUAUCUUUAAGAUCGGACGAAGCGACUGUCGACAAGGCUCGAGGGGAAAAGAUCGAGAUGUCUUCGUGUUUAUUUGAAGAAUUUGGAUAGCAAGUGGAAUAGUAUGAUAUGAUUUGGAGAGUCAAGCUUCCGAAGUUUUAAAUUCUCGGAAGUCAUUUGCACAAGAAGUUAAAGAAGGUUUUCAUUCUAGCGGUCCGCAGUAGUCUAGAUGUCUUUGUCUAUGUAUUUAUAUAGCGCAUUUUAACUCUGAUAUUUUUGUAAAAUGGGGUCACAUGUAUUUUGAUAUAUGAAAAUAAUUUGAUUUGAGAAAAAAAAUUUACACAGGAUUUUAGGCUUGCUACGGGUUUCGGAGCUACCACUCCCAUUCCCUAGCGCCGGU